GAGUUUGAUCCUGGCUCAGAACGAACGCUGGCGGCAUGCCUAACACAUGCAAGUCGAACGAACUCUUCGGAGUUAGUGGCGCACGGGUGCGUAACGCGUGGGAAUCUGCCCUUGGGUACGGAAUAACUCAGAGAAAUUUGUGCUAAUACCGUAUAAUGACUCCGGUCCAAAGAUUUAUCGCCCAAGGAUGAGCCCGCGUAAGAUUAGCUAGUUGGUGGGGUAAAGGCCUACCAAGGCUACGAUCUUUAGCUGGUCUGAGAGGAUGAUCAGCCACACUGGGACUGAGACACGGCCCAGACUCCUACGGGAGGCAGCAGUGGGGAAUAUUGGACAAUGGGCGAAAGCCUGAUCCAGCAAUGCCGCGUGAGUGAUGAAGGCCUUAGGGUUGUAAAGCUCUUUUACCCGGGAUGAUAAUGACAGUACCGGGAGAAUAAGCUCCGGCUAACUCCGUGCCAGCCG
rnacentral:rRNA from 1 species